UAGGGAAUUUUCGGCAAUGGGGGGAACCCUGACCGAGCAACGCCGCGUGAAUGACGAAGUACUUCGGUAUGUAAAGUUCUUUUAUAUGGGAAGAAAAAGCAAUUAUUGACGGUACCAUAUGAAUAAGCCCCGGCUAACUAUGUGCCAGCAGCCGCGGUAAUACAUAGGGGGCAAGCGUUAUCCGGAUUUACUGGGCGUAAAGGGUGCGUAGGUGGUUAUAAAAGUCUGUGGUGUAAGUGCAGUGCUCAACGCUGUGAGGCUAUGGAAACUAUAUAACUAGAGUGAGACAGAGGCAAGUGGAAUUCCAUGUGUAGCGGUAAAAUGCGUAAAUAUAUGGAGGAACACCAGUGGCGAAGGCGGCUUGCUGGGUCUAAACUGACACUGAUGCACGAAAGCGUGG
rnacentral:rRNA from 1 species